rnacentral:lncRNA from 1 species
UUCUCACAGAAAAUUCUAAAUCUUCUAUUUUCGCUCCGAUUUCAGUACAGGUCAUUCCCAACCUAUAUUUCACUUCUCUAAAUCCAAUAAAAAUAGUAUCUCAUACUAUUUUUAUUUAUUUUUAUUUUUAUAUUUAAAUCCGGUAUAUUACAUUACACCGCAACCUCACCGGAACCAUUUAAUGUACACCGUAACUUCAUAUUUUUAGAAGUCCGGUACCUUACACAUUACCAACAACAA